rnacentral:rRNA from 1 species
GAUGAACGCUGGCGGCGUGCCUAAUACAUGCAAGUCGAGCGAAUGGAUUAAGAGCUUGCUCUUAUGAAGUUAGCGGCGGACGGGUGAGUAACACGUGGGUAACCUGCCCAUAAGACUGGGAUAACUCCGGGAAACCGGGGCUAAUACCGGAUAACAUUUUGAACCGCAUGGUUCGAAAUUGAAAGGCGGCUUCGGCUGUCACUUAUGGAUGGACCCGCGUCGCAUUAGCUAGUUGGUGAGGUAACGGCUCACCAAGGCAACGAUGCGUAGCCGACCUGAGAGGGUGAUCGGCCACACUGGGACCGAGACACGGCCCAGACUCCUACGGGAGGAAGCAGUAGGGAAUCUUCCGCAAUGGACGAAAGUCUGACGGAGCAACGCCGCGUGAGUGAUGAAGGCUUUCGGGUCGUAAAACUCUGUUGUUAGGGAAGAACAAGUGCUAGUUGAAUAAGCUGGCACCUUGACGGUACCUAACCAGAAAGCCACGGCUAACUACGUGCCAGCAGCCGCAGUAA